GAUGAAGAACGCAGCGAAAUGCGAUACGUAAUGUGAAUUGCAGAAUUCAGUGAAUCAUCGAAUCUUUGAACGCAUAUUGCGCUCUCUGGUAUUCCGGAGAGCAUGCUUGUUUGAGUAUCAGUAAACACCUCAACUUCCAUAUCUUUUUUGAAAUGGGAGUUGGACUUGAGUGAUCCCAACGCUUUUCCUCACCGAAAAGUGGCGGGUUACUUGAAAUGCAGGUGCAGCUGGACUUUUCUCUGAGCCAUAAGCAUAUCUAUUUAGUCUGCCUAAAAAACAGAUUAUUACCUUUGCUGCAGCUAACAUAAAGGAGAUUAGUUCUUGUGCUGACUGAUGCAGGAUUCACAAAGACAGGCUUCGGCCGACUUUGUAAACUCGAUCUCAAAUCAAGUAAGACUACCCGCUGAACUUAAGCAUAUCAAUAAGCGGAGGA
rnacentral:misc_RNA from 1 species